UCCAGACUCCUACGGGAGGCAGCAGUGGGGGAUAUUGCACAAUGGGGGAAACCCUGAUGCAGCGACGCCGCGUGAGUGAAGAAGUAUUUCGGUAUGUAAAGCUCUAUCAGCAGGGAAGAAAAAAGACGGUACCUGACUAAGAAGCCCCGGCUAACUACGUGCCAGCAGCCGCGGUAAUACGUAGGGGGCAAGCGUUAUCCGGAUUUACUGGGUGUAAAGGGAGCGUAGACGGCAAUACAAGUCGGAAGUGAAAUACCCGGGCUUAACCUGGGAACUGCUUUGGAAACUAUAUGGCUGGAGUGCUGGAGAGGUAAGCGGAAUUCCUAGUGUAGCGGUGAAAUGCGUAGAUAUUAGGAGGAACACCAGUGGCGAAGGCGGCUUACUGGACAGUAACUGACGUUGAGGCUCGAAAGCGUGGGGAGCAAACAGGAUUAGAUACCCGCGUAAC
rnacentral:rRNA from 1 species